rnacentral:pre_miRNA from 1 species
UUGGAUUGUCCUAAGUCAAACUUAUUCAACUUURACAAAAUUUAUAAAAAAUAUAAUAACAAUUAUACUAUUAAAUAUAUACACUAUCAAAACAUAUUUCAAAGCGGAUUCAACCAAACAAAUUUAGUAUUGUAAAUGUUGUUAUAUUUUUUAAUAAGUUUGGGCAAAGUUGAACAAGUUUGGCUUAGAACAAACCAAA